rnacentral:rRNA from 1 species
AGAGUUUGAUCCUGGCUCAGAACGAACGCUGGCGGCGCGUUUUAAGCAUGCAAGUCGAGCGGGAAGGGGCUUCGGUCCUGGAGAGCGGCGGACGGGUGAGUAACACGUGGACAAUCUGCCUUCCAGUCGGGGAUAGCACAUGGAAACAGGUGGUAAUACCGGAUGAGACGUCCGGGGCGCAGGCCCUGGAGGGGAAAGGAGCUACGGCUUCGCUGGGAGAUGAGUCCGCGGCCCAUUAGCUGGAUGGCGGGGUAAAGGCCCACCAUGGCGACGAUGGGUAGCCGGCCUGAGAGGGUGGACGGCCACAUUGGAACUGAGACACGGUCCAGACUCCUACGGGAGGCAGCAGCUAAGAAUCUUCCGCAAUGGGCGAAAGCCUGACGGAGCGACGCCGCGUGAACGAAGAAGGCCGUGAGGUUGUAAAGUUCUUUUCGGGAGGGGGAAUAAGCCUGCCAGGGAAUGGGCGGGUGAUGACGUGAAUCCCGGAAUAAGCCCCGGCUAACUACGUGCCAGCAGCCGCGGUAACACGUAGGGGGCGAGCGUUGUUCGGAAUUAUUGGGCGUAAAGGGCGCGCAGGCGGCAUGGCAAGUCUGAUGUUAAAUGUCCCGGCUCAACCGGGAAGCUGCGUUGGAAACUGCCAUGCUUGAGUACAGCAGGGGACAGUGGAAUUCCAGGUGUAGGGGUGAAAUCUGUAGAUAUCUGGAAGAACACCGGAGGCGAAGGCGACUGUCUGGGCAUGUACUGACGCUGAGGCGCGAAGGUGCGGGGAGCAAACAGGUUUAGAUACCCUGGUAGUCCGCACAGUAAACGAUGUGCACCAGGCGGCGGGGGCAACCUCGCUGCCGCAGUCAACGCAUUAAGUGCACCGCCUGGGGAGUAUGCCCGCAAGGGUGAAACUCAAAGGAAUUGACGGGGGCCCGCACAAGCGGU